rnacentral:rRNA from 1 species
GAUGAACGCUGGCGGCGUGCUUAACACAUGCAAGUCGAACGGAAAGGCCCAAGCUUGCUUGGGUACUCGAGUGGCGAACGGGUGAGUAACACGUAGGUGAUCUGCCCUGCACUUCGGGAUAAGCCUGGGAAACUGGGUCUAAUACUGGAUAGGACCACUUCUUGGAUGGUGUGGUGGAAAGUUUUUUCGGUGUGGGAUGAGCUCGCGGCCUAUCAGCUUGUUGGUGGGGUAAUGGCCUACCAAGGCGUCGACGGGUAGCCGGCCUGAGAGGGUGUACGGCCACAUUGGGACUGAGAUACGGCCCAGACUCCUACGGGAGGCAGCAGUGGGGAAUAUUGCACAAUGGGCGCAAGCCUGAUGCAGCGACGCCGCGUGGGGGAUGACGGCCUUCGGGUUGUAAACUCCUUUCGCUAGGGACGAAGCGUUUUUGUGACGGUACCUGGAGAAGAAGCACCGGCUAACUACGUG